CGCAAAGGGCGAACACAUAACAACAAUCUAGAAAAAAUUAUAUUUAUUAUAUGAAAUUUUAUUUUAAAAUUUAAAAAUAAAAAUAAAAUCAUAAUAAAUAAUAAAAAAACUUACUGCCUGUGCCCUGAUUUUCAAUAGGAUUUAAACUAUUAUUAUUUCUCCAUUUAUCACACCAAGUAACAUCUUCCUACAUUUUAAAAAAAUCAAAAUAAAAUUAUAUUUAAAUCAUCUAUGUAAAUUUAAUAAAAAUAAAAUUAUACUAAAUAAUAAUAAUAGAUGAUCAAAAUCAGAAUCUUAAGAUAAUUAACUAAUUACGUAAUUGAUUAAAUAAACUAAAAUAAUCUAAAUUAAAUUUGUCAUUUAUAAUGAGAGUUAAUAACAAAACUAAUACUUACAUCUCAUAAACUAAAAUAAAAUAUAAAAAAAAUAAUGAUAUAACUCCACAUAUUCACGAGAAUGAUCAGACAUGGUGAAUAAAACAUAAAUUACAUAUUAUCGUCAUUACUUGAAACAACAAUGCGCUGAAAUUCCUUUCAAAGAUGCAUUAAACCUUUUUACUGCUGAAAUAUGUUAGAUGAUUGCUUAUAUCAGCAAGUGAAAACUUAAUCUUGAAAAUAAUUAUGACAAUUAUACCGUUUUUGAAAACCAAGUUAACUGAAGAAAUAGAAAAUCCACCUACAAAAGUUGAACAUAAUAGAAUUAACGGAAGAAAAAAAAAACUCAAUUCAAUAAAAAAAAUUCACCACACAUCAACAACAACAGAUACGUAAGAUUUCAUACCAGUCAUAUCAAAAUGUGCAAUAAAUGAAAUGUAAGAGAACUAAUAACUGCUGAAAUAGAAUCAGGUUAACAAAAUAAUUUUGACAUUUAUACACUUUUGAAAACUAAGUUAACCGAAGAAAUUGAAAAUCGAAACCUAAGCAAAAAAUGCAGAUGUUGAAAUCAGAUUAAAAUAUGCAGUAAAUGAAAUGUGAAACAAAUAUAAUCGGUAAUUAAUCACCCGAAGAAGUGAAUCUUGUUCGGUGAUUUCAGCUUCCUUGACAUCCUGAGCAAAAGCUUGGAAGAAUGAAAUGGAAAAGUAAGAAACCAUAACCGAGAGGAGAGGAGGAAGAUGUUGAAGAAAAAAGAAUAGAAGAUUUAGAAACUUCGGGGAAUCACCAUGGUGUUUGGUAGUUGAAGACGAGAGUCACAAACUCAGAGAAGAAGAGAACUCUGGUUCACUUGGUUAGUGAAAUUUAAAUCAGAAAGGAAUGUGGAGGGAGAUAGUGUGACGUAAGUGUAUAAUUUAUAGAACGACUAACAUUUCUUUUGGUUAAAACACUUUUCAUGCCGUUAGUCUUCAAUCACUAAUGGUCACGAAAGAACCCACUAGUUCCUAAAUCAAUCACCAUCCACAUGCAGUUUUUAUUUUAUUUUUAUAAAGACCACAUACUAUUUAUUAUUUAUUGAUGAAUUGUGAUUCAAUUUAUUAUCUACUUUAAAUUAAAUUAAAUUUUGUUUAAAACUAUAUAAGUAUUAGCUUUAUCGAUGAUUAAAAUAAACCAAUAAGCGGGGAAAAAAUGACAAAAGCACAGAAGGAAUGAACUGAUAUAACAUUUAACCGAUAGUUUUUAGAUAUUGAUAUAUAUUUUUUUUUCUUUCUUUAUAUGAAAAUAAAGAUCCAUAUUAAAUAAUGUAAUGUGCUCCAAAGUCAAGAUUAUCUAUUCCAAAUAGAUGUCCACUAUUUACUGGUAAAUAUAUUUUCUCACUUAAAAAAUAUUGUAAAUGUUUACUGUUUUAUAUCAUUGCCUCAAAUAAAAAGUAUAAUAAAAAGAACAUUUAUACCAUUACAUAUGCUUACAAAGUUGAUAUUAUUUAUUUUAAAAGAAAAUAAAAACCAACAAUAUAUAUAUAUUGUAUGGUUUCAUGAAAAACUCAUUAUGUACGGUAGUAUCGAAGAUAAUGCUUUUUGUCCACGUAUACUCUCUCACCUUCACUGUCAGAUGUGGCCUUUUCCAUUGAUAUUGAAAGACCACUCCUUAGAAAAUGACAAAACUCUGUAAGAAAUGAAAAGCAAUACUCAUAUGUGUGAAAGUUUUAUUGUAAGUUUUGAGGACUCCUUGAAGCUGAAAACGUGGCAGUACACUGUCCCCUCUAAAAAUCCUUUGCCUGCAAAUUAUUCAGCUACUUAAUCGUAGCAGAGAACAGGUUAAUUUUGAGUGGCACAAUGUACCAUUUUGAACAUUUAACCUACAAUAAAGCAAGUCCUCUUAUUUUGGUGUGUGCGUUUCCAACGAAUCGUACAAAGGUUUUUCAAAUAACCCUGCCACGCGCUCAACAUUCCUACCCUACACCAUGCAUAAACUUGCGAUCUAUCGGUGGUGCGUCUCAUGCUCCCGUUUUGUUGGGACACGUCAAAGCAUGCAUGACAGCUUCGUGAAAAUUUAACUCCUAUCCUUACAAAACUAUCUUAGGACACUUACAUAAUUCAAAAUAAUAUUAGCUUUUUUUUUUUUACAUUUUCAUUUUUCAGUCUCACUUUCAACUAAUUAUUUCUAAUAUAAAUUCACUCGCUCAAAAAAAAAUUAAUAUGUAAAAGACUUUCUGAUUUACACUUUAUUUUGAUAUAUUUCAAAAGAAACUUUUCAAUAUGUUAUAUUUUAUUGAAAAACUUCUAUAAAAUUUUGAAAUUUUUUAGAAGAAGUUUUCUUAUGCUCCGUUUUAAAUUAUAAAAAAUUUUAGGUAUUCCACACAAAUUAAUAAAUAUUAUUAAUAAUUGUAAAUUAAUUUAUAAUUUAGAACAACUUUUUUUUACAAAAUAACUUAUAAUUUGUAACAAAAAGAGAGUAUAUUUUAUGAAAAUAUUUUUAAAAUUUUUUGUUGAAUUAUAUUUUAGUGGUAAAUUUAAUAAAAAAUUUCCUGAAUUUUUUUACAAAUCACAAAUGUAGCUCACAAAUGGUAGCAAAUAAUCCACCGUGUCCAUACUAUCACAAUAUAGCUCACCUCGUUUAUGAAAAUUUUACCUGCCACCUAAACAUAAGAUUUAACAUGAUCGUAAUACUUCCAAAACCAACAAAACAAUUAGUCAUGGUCUAAAUUUUACUUUUUGGAUUUUUGUCCAAAACAACUAAGUCUACCUUCCGAGAACUAUAUAAUAUUUACAAAUAAGAAUUCUUUUUCAUUCAAUUCUUUGUAUUUAUACCGAUUUUUUUAUUUAUAUAUUACUAGACAUUUAGGAAAAAACAUACUUUUUUACUAAUUUUUUAAAAUUGCAAAGUAGUAAAAAAAAAUUGUUAUACGAACAAUUUAGAAAUAUUCGGUAAAAGUUAAAGUUCUUUUUGCAUUUUUAUAGACAAUUUCAAAAAUGUGGUAUGACCAUAUGUGUUUUUACCAAUUAUUUUAAAAAAUUGGUAUACACAUACAUUUUUAUGGAACAUUCCAAAAUUUCCUUUAAAAACACAUCUGAUUAUACUGUAGUUUUUCAAUUGUCGGUAUGUGUGGGAGUGUGAUUGGAUAUUUCAAAAUAUUCGAUUUUUUUAAUUGUGUUUUUUAUUUUGUUUGUAUUGAAGACAAGAGGAUAAAACGACAAGGCGAUACAUAGAUUCAGUGAGAGAGCAACAAGAGAGAGCUCUAGUUGAGGCGAUGGAGAUUAUAAAGACAAUGAUCUACAGAUUAGGACAAGUAAAGUUGUUCCCAAUGGUUUUCAUUGCAUGAGGAUCAGGUGAUUCCUUGACGACUCACAAAAGUUUAGAAUAAGACUAACACUCUUCAGAAGAUAGUUAUCCAGGAGUUACAUUACUACAACUAUUAGAAUUCAUAGUAGUGAAGAACUUUUCAUUAUCUGUUAUAACAGAAUUCUGUUAUGAGUUGUUUACAAACAGUAGCACACAGUUGCAUUUAUAGUAGCAACUGUGUGACCUGCUACAGCAGGUUACCUGUUGCUGAGACUGGACACAUGUCAGUCAUUACAAGGUAAACUAGACUUAACCUCUCUCUCUUAGUUAUACUCUAAUACCCCCUCCACAAACUCAAGGGGAGCUACUGUUAGCAACUCUGAGUUUGUGCCGAAGUUCCAGGAACUUUGUAGAAGAAAGAGGCUUAGUGAGGGCAUCCGCAAUUUGAUCCACACCAGGAAUGUGAGCAACUCUGAUUUGCUUUGCAAUAACCUUUUCUCGAACAAAAAAGAGAUCAAUCUCCAUAUGUUUAGUCCGCGAGUGCAUGAUGGGAUUAUGUGCCAGCAUCACUGCAGAUUGAUUGUCACAGAGCACCAAGGGCUGUUGAGUAGAAACACACAGUUCAGAUAAUAAAGUCUGAAGCCACAGUAGGUCAGCAGUGGCUUGAGCUAAGCUUCGAUACUCAGCUUCUGUGCUGGACCUAGCAACUACAGGUUGCUUUUUAGACCACCAAGAGACCAAGUUGCCUCCAAAAUAAAUGGCUGCACCAGAGGUGCUUCUUCGGUCAUCUGGGUCAGAGGCCCAGUCAGCAUCACAAAAGACUUGAAGAGAGGGAGGACUAGAGGAAGUGUAAGGGGACAGAUGAAGCCCAUACUGAAUAGUGCCCUGGAGGUACCGUAGAAUUCGUUUGACAGCAACCCAGUGUGAUUCUAGAGGAUGAGACAUAAAUUGACAAACUUUAUUGACUGCAUAGGCAAUAUCAGGCCUGGUGAUAGUGGCAUAUUGGAGGGCACCAACAACAGACCUGUACAUGUAUGGAUCAGCAAGGGCAGGUGACCCAAGUUUGGUGAGUUUACAAGAGGACUGCAUAGGAGUGGUUACAGAACUAGAGCCAGCCAUGUUAGUUCUCUGCAGUAAAUCUCUAACAUAUUUGGUUUGAGUGAGAAACAUGGAUCCUUGAGCAGAAGGCUUGACUUCAAUGCCAAGAAAAUAAUCCAAAUUACCAAGAUGUUUGAGGGAAAAAUCAGAGUUGAGUUUGUUGAUAAUGGAGGUGAGCAGAGUAGUAUUGUUGCUAGUGAUGAUUAUAUCAUCAACAUAUACUAACAAGUAAACAGUGCUGCCAUGGGAGGCAAAGAUGAACAAGGAGGGAUCACAUUUGCUGGGUUUAAAUUGCAACUUGAGCAGGGCUGCCUGUAGUCUUUCAAACCAUUGUCUAGGGGCCUGUUUUAAGCCAUAAAGAGCUUUGUGUAGCCGGCACACCAGAGAAGAAUCAGAGGUAAUAAAGCCUGGGGGUUGAUCCAUAUACANAGCACACAGUUGCAUUUAUAGUAGCAACUGUGUGACCUGCUACAGCAGGUUACCUGUUGCUGAGACUGGACACAUGUCAGUCAUUACAAGGUAAACUAGACUUAACCUCUCUCUCUUAGUUAUACUCUAAUAACAACCAUAAAAACGUAGAACAUCCAAUUUCAUUACGUGUUCGAUACAGCUAAACCAAAUUAGUUUGACAAUAUCUAGUUCUGGUUACUAUAUUCCAUAUCAAAUCCUCUUAUAGGGUUUUGAUUCAUUCAAGAUUUCUCCCGACACAUAAUCUCGACCAAAACAACAUAACACCAUUAAGGAACUUUAAAUCAUCAAUGAGACACCACUUCUAAGGAACUUAAGCAAUCUAGAGCGUAACUAUGAGUGUCCAUACACCUUAUAGAGUCACACACAAUAUUUCAUACACAUAUAGAGAUAACAUUUCACUUCGUAUCCCAAAAAAUCAUUCAUCUCAAUCGUUCCGUCCCAUCUUCCAUAAUCUUAUCACAUGCUCUUACUAAUAUACAGUCCGAGUUACCUGUUUAACUUUAGAAAUAACUGAUUCUCGUUCCUCCUGGGAAGUAUAACUCAUGAAUCCUUCCAAUAGGGUAGAGUAUCAUCGUACACAUCCAUUACCACUCUCAGGGAGUCUACAUCUAAGGCUAUGAAUCCAAAUGAAUUAAUCAAUUUCAUACCAUGACCAACCACUUCACACCUUAUCAAUAUGUACCAUAUACCUAUCUAAUCUCUUCCAGAUCGCCACUUAGUGGGUCUCUUCCAGCUUUGAUCCUUAUAGUUAUUCAUAAUCAUAAUAGCGGUACUUCCCAGACUUACUUAAACUGAACACGGUUCACCAGGUUGGUUUUCCCACACGUCUGACUUCCAUGAUAUCUCUACAGAUGACCAACUACGCAGUACACCUUCAGAAAUCCCAAUUUCAAAACUACCAAUCUGACUUGGGGUGACUUGUAACUCCAUCCUCAAUUUGUACAUCCACAACGGUACACUUAUGACAUUUAAGACAUCCUUGGCUCCAACAUGGUGUGAAUGUUUAUACUCCGCGACCAACCAACCAAACACUUCUCCAGAAGAUAAAUAACAACCAAACUUCCAAUAAGCCACUACUACUCUUACAAUCCAAAUAAAAUGCACUUAAGAUGAACCUUAUCAUUGCCACGCACUUAUGACUGGGAUUUUUUUUUCUUUCUAAACCAAUACCUACUACACCCUUCAUCAUACUGGGGUUACUUUCCCAGAUGACUUGCUACAGACAAUCCUCAUUGUCUCCCAAUAAGCUCUUGUAACAUAACAUAUUCCACAUCCUACACUUAGUCCACGUGCUCCAACUUGGCUUGUCUUUCGUUGUCUAUCAUCAACUCAACUUCUUAGAAUACAAGGCUCACGACUCAACAAAAUGUAUGUUACUUUGCAUCCAUCUCAAGACAAGGAAUUUAUUACACUUACUUGUGACCAUAAUGCUGCUAUCACACACUUCUCUUAAUACCAAGGUUCAACUUCCUCCAUUCCACUACAUGCUCUAGGAAUCCUCGAUGCAAACAAUCAUCAACUACAAGCCCAUAACUUCGUCUUAAUGAGUCUUAAUGGUCUCAUUGUGCCUCUAUCUAAAAUGUACCCCAUUACAACAGUUAUAUUGUAACAUUCACACUGCUUCCACACUCUGUGUUCACUUGUCUUCCUAUGGUAAUUCUCUCAGUUCCAAUUACAAAACCAUUCUACUAGAAUUCCUUAAAUCCAACUUAUUUGCUCUUCUCCUCAACCAGAUCUCAUACAACCAAAACUCACUGGAGCUUCCAUUACUAUAUAAUGUGCGUUAUCUCUCUCCAACACAAACUCUUAUAAUUGAUCCUUAGGUAACUUUACAUUCCAUAAUGGUCUCUUACUAACACUGAACCGCUGACGAGCUAUCCCAAAUCCGAUCUCCCUUCUAAGACUGAACCUACUUGGUUUAUCUUCUAACCUCCAUUGGUCCAUACAUGUUUCACUUGGAACAGACAACCAUGUCCUCGAGUCUCUCCUUAGACUUCACCACUACCUUAGGCUCCCAACAAAACUGAACGUCCUUAUCCCUCAAGUCCUUAACCACUUGCAAGGUACCAUUCCAAAUAUAUAUUCCAUUAAGUACUCUCAUUCUUCCAAAAUAUUUUAGUGGCCUUAUAAACUGAAACACUGAUACACUACAUCACUUCCAGACCUUAUGACAUAUGCGUAACAUAACCAUCCUUUCUCCUUUACCAUACGGAAAUACUCAGAAUACUUAUUCCAUAUCAGUGAGUGUAUCUUACUCCCCUUAGCAAUUCACACCUUUCUCAAAGCUCUGACAAUUCAUCCAAUAGAUAUCCUUAACUUCUCAACCCCGUUAACACUACAGAAUCGCUUGAACGGUACAUUACUCUUCAAUUCCAUAAUACUCAAAUCACAACUCCUCUGAAACUUCAACCUGCUAUCCAGUUCUCCUUACUUUAUAACUCUUGGCUUGAGCCUACUCUCAAAGCACAAGUUCAACCCACACUUCGGAGUCCUCGUGGUCGCUCAGCCAUGAUCCUACCUACCAUGCACAUAGCAUUAGGUUGAUCAGGCCCAAUACUACAUACAGUGAUAUUAAGAAUCAUGUUGGCUAAACACACAUAUGAGGCAGGAAUAGAUUUACUUAUGAUGUUUCAAGGCUAGGUCGAGAAUCGACCUGCUCUGAUACCAACUGUAACAACCCGUAUAAUAUAUAUCUAGAAUAAUAUCAUACAAGUGUUAAUAAUUGGUACUGAUCCAAUAUAAGUGCCUAAUGGCAUCAAUAAAUAUACAUGUCCAAGCUAAAAACAUGAAUGGAACAUGUUAUACAAUAAUGCCUAAACAAUAAAAAUCUAAGAUCUAUGUGCAAUAUCUUCAUUGCACACAACUCCACAGCGGAAGAUCAUGAUAAACAAUAUCCCUCGAAACAUCCAUAACAACUUCUCAUAGAUUCAACCUGUAAAGAAUUACCUGAAAAAUAACAAUAAUGAUGGGAUAAGAUAAUAAUCUCAGUGAGUUCUCCUAUCCUAUGGGUCCACUCGGCUCUACAGGUUUUUCUAAUCAAUGUUUAACUCCUAUCCAACUCAAGUCAACAAGGGAACGAAGACUUGAGUGAUGGGGAAGUUAUCUCGCAAUUGUAUGGCAACAUGCAUCUGAGUUCUCAUAACUCAACCACGAUCAUUAUUCAGAUCACGACGCAUCAAUUCCCGAAGGGACUUACGUCUAAGCCAGGCCCGGUUCAUGCAUGCUCGUAUGGUUCGACUUUCACGAUGGAUAUCUGGUUCCCCUAUGGGACUCAAACCCACUUUUAAGAACCAUCACUCAUAUGGGACUUUACCCACUUUGAGUCUCUUUCACCGUAUGGGCCUUAUCCCAAUUUGGUGUCCACCUUUCCCCCAUGUCCACCAUGGUUGGGGCUCAAACCCAAUUGAGGCUCGAAUCAUUGGUCCCAUAUCCCAAUGCUUACUCCUCGAAGCAUACCACAAGAGAUGUGUACCACCAUAGAAAAACACACAUUCUGAAUACAUGAUCGGUUCCACAAUCAUCGGUUCCACGAACCAUAACAAAAUUCAUCAAUCACGGGUGACUUCAUUCACCACAAUACACAAAUAAUAACAUGGCAUGUUCCACACAAUGCGCCUCAUUCUCAAUCAUGGCAACAGUUCAUCCACGACCUCACAUAAGCGGCGUACGAAUGAAUACCGUAUUCUCAUACAUAUAUCACACAUGUUCCAUAACCUAGAUCAUAUUUCUAAGUUAUUAAUCACGUUAUUCUCCGAGGUUUCCUCACUCAUCUUUGUAAGGUUUUUAAUCGUGUUACUUCACCUUCCACAUAACAACAAUAUUUAAUUUUCAUCAUGAUAUAAUUCAUGGCAUUUAUAAAUCACAUAAUAUUUUAUAACAUGGAACAAUAAUAAUAGCCCUUUACGUUAUCCUUCUAGCGCAUCCGUCUGUGUCCAAAACGGAGUUAUACCACUCAAUUAAUUCAUUAAUCUAUCUUAAUCAAGAUUUAGAUUAAUAUUUAUUCAUUGCAUAAGUAUUCAACAACAACAUCUUUGGCCUAGUGGUAAGGCUUGUACAAAUCCAAGGAGCUCCCGGGUUUGAAUCCCAUUGGUGACAUAUUUUAAUUUUUCAAAUACUUAAUUCAUGUCAAUAGAUUGAUCAAAUGAAUCAAUCGAUCGAUUGGAAGGAUCAAUCGAUUGAUACCCAAGGCCAAUCGAAAGGAAUCAAUCGAUUGAUUCCCAGGGAAUCAAUCGAUUGAUUCCCAAGGCCAAUCGAUUGGUCUGUCAAAAUUAAUUCUCGGUAACUUAUUUCCUUCAAUAACUCCUCUUUUAUUUUCCUUUCCAUCUACCAUUUUUUUACCUACUAUUUUCACAUAACAUGAUUCUUCAACAACAACCAAUACUCAAGGAUUCCUCAACCUCAUAAACACAUGUUCUUAACAAACUCAACAAUCAUGUUCAAUUACAACAACACCAUAAUCAUAGAAAACAUGGUUAACUCAUGAUUCAUGGAAUAUUUCAUGAAUAACUCAUAUUGUUAUGAAUUCAUGUGAUUAACCUCCAUAACUUCAACAACAAAACACAUCAGCAUUAAACACCCAAGAAUCACAAUUUCAACAACAACAACAACAUGAUAUCAACACAUAGCAUGGAUGAGGAGUAUGAACAUAACAAGUUCAUAUGUACAUGUAUAAUAGGGAUUUCAUCAUCAUAAACACAACCAUAACAACUUAUGUAAUCACAACAAUCAUGAAGAGCAUAUCAAGCACAUGUUCAUGAAAACAACAACAACAAGAGAAAUAUUCAUCACAUAGCAUGGAUUACUCAUGAUUUGUUUAUGAUUCUACAACCCUAACUUUUCUAUAAACCUAGAGUUUCUAACUAGAACUCACCUAGUAGUAGAAAAAGAUGAAGUUGGUGAUGAUGAAGAUGACAUGAUGGUGGUGGUGAUGAACAUGAUUUCCCAUCUUCUUCCUUCCUCUUCUUCUCUUCUUCCUCCUUCUCUUCCUUCUUUCCUUAUCUUUCUUUUCCUUUCUUUCUGAUAUCUCUACCUCUCUCUCUUACCUACCACCUCUCUUCUUAUCCACUUCUUCUUUUCUUUCUACACCACACAAAUAUAUA
rnacentral:lncRNA from 1 species